UACGGGGGGGGCAAGCGUUGUUCGGAAUUACUGGGCGUAAAGGGCUCGUAGGUGGCCAACUAAGUCAGACGUGAAAUCCCUCGGCUUAACCGGGGAACUGCGUCUGAUACUGGAUGGCUUGGAUUUGGGAGAGGGAUGCGGAAUUCCAGGUGUAGCGGUGAAAUGCGUAGAUAUCUGGAGGAACACCGGUGGCGAAGGCGGCAUCCUGGACCAAUAUUGACGCUGAGGAGCGAAAGCUAGGGGAGCAAACGGG
rnacentral:rRNA from 1 species